rnacentral:rRNA from 1 species
UACGAAGGGGGCUAGCGUUGCUCGGAAUCACUGGGCGUAAAGGGUGCGUAGGCGGGUUUUUAAGUCAGGGGUGAAAUCCUGGAGCUCAACUCCAGAACUGCCUUUGAUACUGAGGAUCUUGAGUUCGGGAGAGGUGAGUGGAACUGCGAGUGUAGAGGUGAAAUUCGUAGAUAUUCGCAAGAACACCAGUGGCGAAGGCGGCUCACUGGCCCGAUACUGACGCUGAGGCACGAAGGCCAGGGG